UUGAAGGAUUUGUAAGAAAUGUUUGAGGGAAUUGACUCAGUGUUUAACAUUAAGUCAGUUCCAUCAAACAUUUUUUUUACAAAUCCUUCCA